AUUGAACGCUGGCGGCAUGCCUUACACAUGCAAGUCGAACGGCAGCGGACCUUCGGGUGCCGGCGAGUGGCGAACGGGUGAGUAAUAUAUCGGAACGUACCUUUCAGUGGGGGAUAACGUAGCGAAAGUUACGCUAAUACCGCAUAUUCUGUGAGCAGGAAAGCAGGGGAUCGCAAGACCUUGCGCUGAUUGAGCGGCCGAUAUCAGAUUAGCUAGUUGGUGAGGUAAAGGCUCACCAAGGCGACGAUCUGUAGCGGGUCUGAGAGGAUGAUCCGCCACACUGGAACUGAGACACGGGUCCAGACUCCUACGGGAGGCAGCAGUGGGGAAUUUUGGACAAUGGGCGCAAGCCUGAUCCAGCCAUGCCGCGUGAGUGAAGAAGGCCUCGGUUGUAAGUAC
rnacentral:rRNA from 1 species